CGCGACUGCCGUCUUGGCCUUCGU
rnacentral:siRNA from 1 species